rnacentral:rRNA from 1 species
GAUGAACGCUGGCGGCGUGCCUAAUACAUGCAAGUCGAGCGGACGGACGAGAAGCUUGCUUUUCUGAUGUUAGCGGCGGACGGGUGAGUAACACGUGGAUCACCUCCUUAUCAGACUGGGAUAACUUCGGGAAACCGGAGCUAAUACCGGAUAAUAUUUUGAACCGCAUGGUUCAAAGGUGAAAGACGGUCUUGCUGUCACUUAUAGCUGGAUACGCGCUGCAUUAGCUGGUUGGUAAGGUAACGGCUUACCACGGCGACGAUGCAUAUCCGACCUGUGAGAGGGAUCGGCGACACGGGAGCGUAGACACGGUCCAGACGCCUGCGGUAGGCACCAGUAUGGAACCGUCCGCAGUAGUCGAAAGCCUUACGGAAUGGCGCCGCGUGAGUGACGAAGGUCUUCGGAGCGUAAUGCUCUCUUAUGAGGUAUGAACAUAUGUGGAAUUAACUGUACACUUCGUGACGGUACCGAAUCAGAAAGCCACGGCUAACUACGUG